GCUGCUGAUUUAUGGUGAGACGGCGAGGUCUCUGGAUAACACCACACGGUCGUCAAGGCCACUCCAGAGCAGCAUGUGGAGAGGGGACAGAACAGUGGAGUUGUUGGUUGAUGGAGCGUGUGUCUGAGAAAGUCUAGUGGCUUUCUACAGUAUGACAUUGGCUAUGCCAGCUGCCCCAGCACACAGGAGUAUUUUCCGAAGGGCCGGCCCAGGGGCGCACAGUCUCCCGCCUGCAGCUGAGGCCCACAGCCCGAGGGGGAGGACAAAGAGGUAUACAAGGCCUUUUCCAGAGUCUGACUACAUCUUGGCUAAAGUCCAACCUGGCCUGUGCUCCAACCCCUAGCAGAUGGGGUGCCUGGGCUGGAGGGGGAGAGCCCUAUUUUCCAGCCCAGAUGGAGAGGAGGCUAAUGCAGGCCUUCUAGUGGGAACCCUUCAAGCCCUGUGCUGCCGUGCCUUGGACUCUCACCCACAGGAAUGCCCAGCUCAGGACACCUGUCAGCCACACAGGACAAGAGCCAGCUGUCUGCCGCACAGGCAGGAAGGUAGAGCAGCUCAUGAGAGUCUCUGGGUCCUGGCUCAUUUCUGAGAUUAUAGAGAGAUUCUGUGGUGGGCCAGGGCUCCCACGCACUUUCAAAAAUAAGUCCCCCAUGUAAACGGGUUUCCCUCUACUUUGCCCAAUCCCCCCAAUCCCAAACUCAUUACCAUUGAACCAAUUCCGAUUCUGGCGACCCUGAAGGACACAGUAGGACUAUUCUCUGUAAGGCUGCCCAUCUGUACAGACUCGGAUGGCUACACCUUUCUCCCACAGAAUAGCUAAUAGAUUCAAACCACUGCCCUCUGGUUCGUAGCCAGGCUCUUUAACCCCUGCACCACCAGGGCUCUGUGUGCUUCCCAAGAGGUGUGCAAUUUGUGCAAUUGGGCAAUAACAACCUGAAGUUCAAAAGCUAAUGCCGUCUGGCCUAGUAAUUUCACUCCUAGGGAUUUCCUGUGCAUCCUGUGUGGCACAAGGAGGUUUCCUGGGAAGGCAGCAUGCAGCCCUGCUUCCAGUGGCCAACUAGAAAGCACCCCGUGCUCAGCAAGUGUCCGACUUCUACAACGGCAGGCCACCAGAUGAGGAGUGCCCUGCGUCUCUUCAAAGAAUGAAGGAGUUGCGUGUGGGCUACGUGGAACCAUCUCUACAGCUGAUUCAAUGAAAAAGAGUAGAACAGUGUGAUGUAUUAUAUACAUCCGCAUACGCACGAGUCAUCGCCUAAUAAACGAGCCACGGGCGUUGCUUCUGGGAAGGGAACCAGGUGACUGGGAACAGGGCUAGGAGGGAGACCUGGGAUUCAUAGCAUUUUCUACCUUUAAACAUUUGUACCAAACGUAUCUAUACGGUCUACUUUUAAAAUACACACACCAUUUUUGUACAGAAAAGGAAAAGCCCCACUAGUGGUUCUGAUACUCAGAGAUUGAGAACCCGAACGGAGGAGGGACCCCGAGACCACUAAGGAGAGAGAGACUGGACAUCCCUUAAAGUAAAGCAAAUACAAAUCUCAUUCGGCAUCUGCCCAGGGUGGAGAGGGUGGCCACAGCUUGCAGCGGAGCCCCUUCCGGCACACACAGUUGGCCUGCAAUGACUGCCCUCGGGAGCCCGCUUCUCCAGCCUCACGCACACCACCGAGCGGAGACUCGCUUCACUGCAUUCCCACUGCACUUUGGGCUGGGAGUUACUCCAGUCCUGGCCUCUGACCAGCACCCUUUUCCAAACCCAUCACUUUCUCUCCAGGCCCCCAUUCUAAUCACUUUGCACCUUUCCCAUGGCUCCUCUAUACCCAGCUUCACCCACUGUCACCGGUUCUAGUUAUGUAGACAUCUAGAUGUGAAAGAGCCUUGACAUCCGCGUGACAAUGUCCCCUCGGGGUCAGUUCACAGAAUUUCCCAUUCUCUCCCUCGGUCUG